GAUGAAGAACGUAGCGAAAUGCGAUACGUAAUGUGAAUUGCAAAUUCAGUGAAUCAUCGAGUCUUUGAACGCACAUUGCGCCCCCUGGUAUUCCGGGGGGCAUGCCUGUCCGAGCGUCAUUGCUGCCCUCAAGCACGGCUUGUGUGUUGGGCCCCGUCCUCCGAUCCCGGGGGACGGGCCCGCAAGGCAGCGGCGGCACCGCGUCCGGUCCUCGAGCGUAUGGGGCUUUGUCACCCGCUCUGUAGGCCCGGCCGGCGCUUGCCGAUCAACCCAAAUUUUUAUCCAGGUUGACCUCGGAUCAGGUAGGGAUACCCGCUGAACUUAAGCAUAUCAAUAAGCGGAGGA
rnacentral:misc_RNA from 1 species